rfam:Ictidomys tridecemlineatus contig090131, whole genome shotgun sequence.
GGUGAUAUAGCUCAGUUGGUAGAGUGCUUGCCUCUCAUGCAUAAGGCCCCAGGUUCAGACCCCAGCACCACCA